rnacentral:rRNA from 1 species
AGAGUUUGAUCCUGGCUCAGGACGAACGCUGGCGGCGUGCUUAACACAUGCAAGUCGAACGGUGAAGUCCCUUCGGGGGCGGAUCAGUGGCGAACGGGUGAGUAACACGUGGGCAAUCUGCCCCUCACUGUGGGAUAACUCCGGGAAACCGGGGCUAAUACCGCAUAUGAAGCCUGGCGGCAUCGCCGGGUUUGGAAAGUUUUUCGGUGAGGGAUGAGCCCGCGGCCUAUCAGCUUGUUGGUGAGGUAAUGGCUCACCAAGGCGACGACGGGUAGCCGGCCUGAGAGGGCGACCGGCCACACUGGGACUGAGACACGGCCCAGACUCCUACGGGAGGCAGCAGUGGGGAAUAUUGGGCAAUGGGCGAAAGCCUGACCCAGCGACGCCGCGUGCGGAAUGAAGGCCUUCGGGUUGUAAACCGCUUU